rnacentral:lncRNA from 1 species
UUUUUUCUUUUUGUGUAUAUAAGUUUUUCUGAGACCCAACUCUUUAUACAUUAUUAUUAAAAUAAAUAAAAACUUUUUUUAAUAAGAUUUUUUCUAUGGCAAGUUACAAUCACUUCUUGUUAUUUGUCAGCUUUCAUCUACUUCUACCUUUGCCUGAAAAAUUAAACAUAUAAAGAGUGAGUAUAGACAUAUUACUCAUUAAGGGACCCACUGCUAUAACAACAACGUGUUUCUUUGGAAGAAAAUAGGUGAAUGCAACAACAACGUGUUUCUUUGGAAGAAAAUCGGUGAACAUCGUGUGGAUUUGAACACCACACUGAGCUAGUCUUAGGUUCUUAGUAAAACAAAGAAAGCAAAACCUUUCUACGUUGUUAGAUGUUCUUGCUUAUUAAUAGUUUUUAUCUUCAAAACCAUUUCACAAAGAAACUAAGCAAACCAUAUAAUAAAAGAAGUCAUUCAAAGAACAAGUUAUUCAAAAUCAGUAUGGGAAUAAGCUAAGCAAAAGCAUAGAAAAAAGGACUAAGAGCUUCUAAUUCAAACUUUCUGCUCGGAACACGGCUUGAAAGUGUAAAGUUGGCAACAAAUCCAUCUAAGAUGAAGCAGGUUAGGAAUUGCCUCUUUCUAAUGCCAUGAAAUUUACAGCAUGCUGCUACUCUUUUCUUAUUAACCUUUCCGUUUGCUAAUAUUUCCCUUCAAUUUCUACGGUAUGUUUCUAUUAUAUUUUCUAAGACAUGUGAAUUCUUAUCAAAUUUUAAAAAUAAAAAUAUUAUCAAACGAUAAGAAACAUGAAAAUGGAAGUAUGAAUGGAACGCAAGAACGCAAGUGACUAUAUUUAUGAUAACACGAAAGUCAAUCAUAGCAAACUUCAUGAUUAUGGUCAAUAUUACAAUUCAGUGAUAUUUUUUAAACAAAAUUGUACCGAUAUAUACCUAUUGAAAGACUGACAAAAAGGUAUUUUUGAAUCUUUUUUAAAGUUAAAAAGACCAUUUUAAAAGCUCAAAGACAUUUCAAAGUAUGGAGACAUUUUUUAUAACAAGGCAAAAGCAAAUUAGAAUAAAAGGCAUAAACAUAAACCUCUGAAAUCGAAGCGCGUGAGGGUGCUGCAAUGGAAAUUGGCGGGUGAUUAUACCUUAAUUCCUUCCGUCUUCGUAAAACCUUCAAACCCUCUUUGAUACAGCUCUUAGACA